rnacentral:rRNA from 1 species
AUGAGAGUAGAGGACAAAAAAAGAUCCCUAACAGUUGCCCCCUUCAAGUGUGCUUGGGGCGAGGAGUUCCGGUUUGUGGAGGCUGGGCGUGGGUGCAUUGCGUUCGAGGCAUCUGCCCAGAAUGAUGUUACCCUGGUGUUCCGUGAACAGCCUGGGAGCCAGCACUACCACUACAAAAUGGACAGCAGUCGUCAUUACGCUGUCAUCUUGGGUAGCCAUAGGAACAAAAGGUUGAAGAUUGAAGUGGACGGAAGGACUGUUGUCGAUGAAGCUGGAGUCGGCCUAUGCCGCUCAUCAUCUUUCCAGAGCUAUUGGAUCAGCAUCUAUGAUGGAUUGAUAAGCAUUGGACAAGGAAGGCAUCCAAACAACAAUGUCCUCUUCCAGUGGCUCGACCCUGAUCCCAACCGGAAUGUUCAGUAUGUCGGAUUAUCCAGCUGGGACAAGCACGUGGGCUACCGAAAUAUAAGUGUUCUUCCAUCAGCUCCUCAAAACAGCAUCCGUUGGAGUCAAAUUGAGUAUGCAUAUGCUGAGCGGCACGGGGAAGGAGAUCAUGCUAAAAAUGAAGAAUCAAAAGAUGGCUGUGAGCAAAGGGUGAUUGCAGACUUUCUUGAGAGCUGGGAUUUCUCCGAUGCUAUGUUUGUUAUUGGUAGUGAAAGAAAGGUUGUCCCUGCGCACAAAAUUGUCUUGGCUGCUUCUGGAGAGUUUGAUUUUAUCUCAAUGAGUGGAACUGCCAUCGAGCUUCCGUCAUUCUCCUACCCAGUUCUCCACUCGCUUCUUGAGUAUAUCUAUACUGGGUCUACUCAGAUUGCAGAGUGGCAACUGGAUUCACUGCUGGAGUUGAGCUUACAAUUUAAAGUUAAACCUUUGGUAAAGCGUUGUGAGGAAAUGCUCGACUGUUUUACUAAGAUGGAUAAUGAUCUCUCUGAGUCUAGUAGAAAGUUAGAAGUAUCAAGUAGUGGAUCUAAAGCCCAUCAAGUUGAUUAUUUCCCUUUCAAGGCUCCAGUGAGUGUGCAGAAAAUCAAACAAUUCCUUGCAAGUGGUGAGCAUAGUGAUAUAAACAUCUUUGUUAGUGGACAAGGUUUUGUUGCCAAGGCUCACAAACUCGUCCUUAGCUUGUGGAGCAUGCCAUUCGCCAAGAUGUUCACAAAUGGAAUGAAAGAAAGCAGCGCUCCAAAUGUAUUUUUCGAAGAUGCUUCUGCUGAAGCAUUUUCUCUCCUCCUUCAGUUUAUGUACAGUGGGGAACUUAAAGUGGAUAACCGGUAUAUCACACCUGCAUUGGUUCAGCUCCUCUUAUUAUCAGAUCAGUUUGGCAUCACUGUUCUUCAGUUUGAAUGCUGUAAAAGAAUUAUGGAAUUCCUUUCAGAGGACACAGUAUGUUCAGUAUUACAAGCAGUGUCAUCAAUACCAUCUUGUAAACUGCUUGAAGAAAUGUGCAAACAGAAUUUUGCAACACACUUUGAUUAUUGCACAACUGCUUGCACGGACUUUGUGCUGUUAGAUGAGGCAACAUUUAAGGAUAUUCUUCAGCAAGGUGAUAUGACUGUGACAUCGGAAGAGAAGGUUCUGGAUGCCAUCUUAACAUGGUGUAUGGAGGCUUGUGAAACUUUUUACUGGAGUUCUGUAGAUAAGCUAUUAAGCACUUCAACACCAGAGCAGCUCUUUGGAGAGAGGCUCACCGCCAUCAAUACUUUACUACCAUUUGUGCGGUUCCCUCUAAUGCCGCCGUCUCUCCUUCAGCGGAUGGAGAAAAGUAACCUAGCAAAGCACAUACAACUGUUCAGACAGUUGGUUGCAGAAGCCAUUGAGUUCUCUAAUGCUGGUGCUUGGAUGAUGAUGACAAACAAAUGUGAGAGAUUUCUACAUAGACGCUCAAGCUAUAGAGAGCUUCAGUAUAUUUCUGAUGGUGAUAACAAUGGUGUGAUCUACUAUGCUGGGACGUCAUUCGGGAAGCAUCAAUGGAUCAAUCCUGUUUUAGCCAAGAAUAUCACUGUGACGGCAAGCAGCCCAAAUUCGAGGUACACGGAUCCAAAGGCUCUGGUUUCAAAAAGUUACCAGGGGACUUGUUUUGCUGGGCCUCGAGACGAAGAUGGCAAGAAGUGUUCUUGGUGGAUGGUAGACAUUGGACAGGACCACCAGCUUAUGUGCAACUACUACACGGUAAGGCAGGAUGGCUCUACGGCAUUUAUGAGGUCUUGGGUUCUUCAGGGAUCCAUGGAUGGUGAGAACUGGACAAGCCUCAUUGUUAACGAGGACGAGCGGGCCAUCUGCCAGCCAGGGCAGUUUGCGUCGUGGCCGAUCACAGGCCCGGCGGCGCUGCUGCCAUUCCGGUUCUUCCGGCUUGCUCUGACGGGGCCGACGACCAGUAACACCUGGAACCUCUGCAUCUGCUUCCUGGAGCUCUACGGCUACUUCCGCUAG